AAAGGUGGAUGUCUCUCCUUUAGUCAGACUGCCAGACUGUGCACCACAGAGCCAAUCAGGAGAGAAUACAUAUAGGUCAACGGUGCCAAUUGAAAGUCAAGGGUGUGUCUGUGUCUUUUGGAUGACUCCCUCUUUACAGAGAACCCCUUGUGGUUCAAGACUGCUCUGCGCAUGUCUGAAAGUGACAGAGCCAGCAGCCAAGAGAGUUUAUCACAGUAUGUCAUAAAAAAGUAUUACACUUAUGAAUGUAUUUAAAAUGCUAAUAUGUAUUAGAUCCAGUACAAUGGAAUAACUAAGACCUGAAUUUGAAUGCAGCGUGUUCAGAUUCCACCUCCUCUUUCUGUCCAGCAGGGUCAACCAAAAACACUUGGCCUGAUGGUUUAUGCAGAUACUGGGGAAGCAACAUAGAAAUGUAUUGAUCCCUUAAAGGAUUUUACUAUUAAAUGACCCAUAUCACAACCCUCAUACCUCUUCACAAAAAUGUACCUAAAUCAAUUUUGGAAAAAGGGUUUUACUCACAAAAGACGUAGGAAUUUAUUUUCCCAGUUAGAAGUAGUAGGCCAUGCAUCAAAUAACUAUUUAUCAGAAAAACGAACCCUCAAAUGCAAUAUUGCAUUUUGUAAGUUGUCUGCAGGUGGGUUGUUGUGAAUACAGUCAGAUAUCAAGUCAUUAUCAGGUUAUGUAAACUGCGUUCUAAUACUCAACGUAGAAGGAUUUGUCUUAAUGUACAGUAUAUGAAAGUGAUGCUAUGAAAAUGAUUCUUUCACGUUAUCAAGCUCACUGUGACUGACAAAUCACUGCCUAUUACUUUGAUUAAAAAGAUCAUAUGAAACAUUGUUUUUCAUGAGGCCUACCUGUGCGCCUUCCUUUAAGCACCUCUGUUCGAACGCCUAUCCUGUCCUUAAUCCAUACCACAUACAGCCAUUUGCGGAUCUUUUCAGUGUCCAUGUGAAAGAUAGUUAUUGCGAGGAUGGAACAUUUGUUGACAAAAAAAUAAAUAAAUUGUUAACACCCAUGUAAAAUGAAGCUUACAGAUUUAAGUCUAAUAGCAUGAGAUGAAAGUAGACAAACAUCAGAGUGUGCGAUAUUAAGGUAUAGUCAGUGGACAUUCUGAACCUUGUUUGAGGUCAGUAGGUCACAUGACCAAGGAGCUAUUGAAAUUCUACAUUUUGAAGAAUUCAUGUAAAACCAUGUGAGAUGAAAAUUGACAAACUAAAGGGUGUGCAAUGUGCAGGGCCACUGAGUGGACAUUCUGAACCUUGUUUGAAGUCACUAGGUCACAUGACCAAGGAGCUAUUGAAAUUCUACAUUUUGGAAAAAUUCAUGUAAAACCAUAUGAGAUGAAAAUGGACAAACUAAAGGGCGUGCAAUAUAGAAGGGUAGUCAGUGGACAUUCUGAAUGUAAAAUGUAAAAAAAAGUUUGUACUUUGUUUACGCUCCCUAACUAAUUCAAUUUAGGAAUACAAAAUGUUGCUCACAUUUCCACGUUUAUUAGCUUUGGAAAGCGAAUUAAUGUCCAAAUCGUGAAAAUAAAACCUGUGCAAUGUUGUGCACAUUUUUUUUUCAACAUCAUGACACUUAUUUGGAGUCUGUGGCUCAAGUGGUUUGAAAGCGCGAAUAUCCUAUUUGUCUUUACCUCGGUUGUCAUUGGGUGAGUGACUGACUUCACCUCAUAUUGUUUUGUCGGUAGCUACAGUGAGAGAUGCAGGUGUCCUUUUGGUUAGCGAACAAGAAAUGUGAAUCGCUUUGCUAGCUAAUUAUGCUGAACGACUGUUAUCCACAGUUAUGUAUUUGGUAUCGAUCAAAUGGGCAGGCAGGAAGGCAAGUUCACAUUCAGUUGUCAAGACGUGGGUUUGGACAAACAUGCAUUGUCAGGUAAACUGCAGAAGGAAUACCUUACUAUGCAUCCUUCCCAAACAUUCUAUGAAUUUAUGAACACUUAGAUAUGGCCAUUUUCAAGUUCUCAGAUAAAAAAAAGGUGUCAUAUUAUUCUUGGGGAUAUACAGUAUAUGAACAGAUUUUAAUAGGAUUUGAUGUUGCUAAAAUGCUGUCAGUUCCACUUUAAUAAUGACUUCUGUAUGUUACUCUUUCACUUAUUUACAAUAGAUCCUGAGGACAAACAUCCUUCUGCAUCAAGGUCAACUUUUGUUUCUUUUCAAAGGGCCACAUUUUUGCCCCUUGCUAUGUCUAUAUUUGUCCCUCUCUCACAGUGCUGAAUACAUGCUAAAUGUAAUAACAUUGUCCAGGUCCUUUCUCAUGUUCAGACAGACUAUAUCCCACUACCUAAACUUGCGGUCAGCCUACAGCUAAUUCAUCCCUGCAACAGACUGAGCUGACCACCAUGCACUCUGAGGAUGGAUCUACGGUCGACGACAUCUUCUACUCCAAGGCUGGGCAAUUCUGGUGGAGGUCAACGGCAGAGCGGAGGUUUGAAGCUGCUUGGUCGUCUCUCCCCCCAAUUAGAGGAGGAUCUCUGGUCAAUGAAAGGUUUACCCAAUUAAUUGUUCCCUUCGGACCAUCUCAGUCUCCUGGCCAGGUUCCAGCUGGACUGAAACCCUGUGUAAUUUGGGCUGUUUGUGAUCAAUUAAUAAUCAGGAGGACCGAGGUCAAGUAUUUAAAAAUGUUUGUUCAAACUGUACAUGAUUUUCCCAUGGUGUGAUUCCAUGUUUUAUAAGUUCAUAAUUGUACUUAAUUGGUUCCUUGGGCUCACAUGGUUGUUUCCUACCUGAAGAGAAACUACUCAUCCCAAGGUCCAGAGGGGAUGGGAUGUCCUCUGAAGAAUUGUUUUUGUUUACAUGAAGAGAGAGCAAAACAAACCAAAAAGGUUGAAUUUAGUUCAAAGUUGGAAUUUAUUUGACAAAUUCUCUUACUGUUGAGAUUUGAAUGCAUGAAGCUUUUAGAUUUUAAAAGUUAAUAUUUUGUGAACAAACUGAGUAAACAAUCUGCUACACUAGUAAAUUAGAACAUUUAAAUCUUUACAAACUGUGUUUGAUGCGUUUUGUCCCUCUGGCUUUGGGCCAGUCGUAGUAUUAUUUUUCAAAUGAUAGAAAUAUUGAAUUCAUAUUUUCCAUAUACCAAUAUCAGUUUGGCAGUAUUUUGGGAAGAUCUACAUCCUGUCUUGCCUGGCUGAGAUGGUGUUAAUCCGUGACAAGGACU
ensembl:lncRNA